CAAGUACUCCCUCCGUCCAGAAUUACUUGUCAUCAAAAUGGAUGUGUCUAGAACUAAAAUACAUCUAGAUACAUCCAUUUCAAUGACAAGUAUUUUUGGACGGAGCGAGUACAAG
rnacentral:pre_miRNA from 1 species